rnacentral:rRNA from 1 species
CCUACGGGAGGCAGCAGUGGGGAAUAUUGCACAAUGGGCGCAAGCCUGAUGCAGCCAUGCCGCGUGUGUGAAGAAGGCCUUCGGGUUGUAAAGCACUUUCAGCGAGGAGGAAAGCUUAAGCGUUAAUAGCGUUUAGGUGUGACGUUACUCGCAGAAGAAGGACCGGCUAACUUCGUGCCAGCAGCCGCGGUAAUACGAGGGGUCCAAGCGAUAAUCGGAAUUACUGGGCGUAAAGCGUACGCAGGCGGUUUGUUAAGCGAGAUGUGAAAGCCCCGGGCUCAACCUGGGAACUGCAUUUCGAACUGGCAGACUAGAGUCUUGUAGAGGGGGGUAGAAUUUCAGGUGUAGCGGUGAAAUGCGUAGAGAUCUGAAGGAAUACCGGUGGCGAAGGCGGCCCCCUGGACAAAGACUGACGCUCAUGUACGAAAGCGUGGGGAGCAAACAGGAUUAGAUACCCUGGUAGUCCACGCCGUAAACGAUGUCUACUCGGAAUUUGGUGUCUUGAACACUGGGUUCUCAAGCUAACGCAUUAAGUAGACCGCCUGGGGAGUACGGCCGCAAGGUUAAAACUCAAAGGAAUUGACGGA